rnacentral:rRNA from 1 species
CCUACGGGAGACAGCAGUAGGGAAUAUUGCUCAAUGGGGGAAACCCUGAAGCAGCAACGCCGCGUGGAGGAUGAAGGUUUUCGGAUUGUAAACUCCUUUUGUUAGAGAAGAUAAUGACGGUAUCUAACGAAUAAGCACCGGCUAACUCCGUGCCAGCAGCCGCGGUAAUACGGAGGGUGCAAGCGUUACUCGGAAUCACUGGGCGGAAAGAGCGCGUAGGCGGGAUAGCAAGUCAGAUGUGAAAUCCUAUGGCUUAACCAUAGAACUGCAUUUGAAACUGUUAUUCUAGAGUAUGGGAGAGGUAGGUGGAAUUCUUGGUGUAGGGGUAAAAUCCGUAGAGAUCAAGAGGAAUACUCAUUGCGAAGGCGACCUGCUAGAACAUAACUGACGCUGAUGCGCGAAAGCGUGGGGAGCAAACAGGAUUAGAUACCCUAGUAGUC